rnacentral:rRNA from 1 species
UACGUAGGGUGCAAGCGUUGUCCGGAAUUAUUGGGCGUAAAGAGCUCGUAGGCGGCUUGUCGCGUCUGCUGUGAAAUCCCGGGGCUCAACUCCGGGUCUGCAGUGGGUACGGGCAGGCUAGAGUGCGGUAGGGGAGAUUGGAACUCCUGGUGUAGCGGUGGAAUGCGCAGAUAUCAGGAAGAACACCGAUGGCGAAAGCAGAUCUCUGGGCCGCUACUGACGCUGAGGUACGAAAGCAUGGGGAGCAAACAGG